AACCUGCUCUAGCUAGUUGGAUGAUGGGAAAUAUGUGCUUCAGUCUCUGCAAGGCCCCAGUAAACAGCCAACACUGCCAGAGGCACCUAGUAAAGUCCCUGCAGCUGGCCACAGGUACAUAGACAAGCCCUAUGAAGAUCAGCAAAAUUGCCCAACUGAGCCCAACCAAAUUGGACGUCAGUGGAUAAUAGGCAUCAGCAUUACUUGGAGCUUAUUGGGAAUAUGGAAGUUGGGUCCCACCCUAAAGCUAGACGCCCGACUGAGAGUUUCAACUGGAUCCCCAGUGAAUCCCACCAGCCCCCCUAGAUGUGAUGCCUCAACCUUGGACCUGCCAGCCUCCAGAACCAUAAACCAAAACAAACCUCUUUCCUUUAUACAGCACCCGGUCCCAGGUAUUCUAUUUUAGUAACAAAACAUGGACUAAGCCAAUAACAAAGAACAUGUUUGAAAGUUUAUAAGCAAGAAGAGCAACAACAACAACAAAAAUAAAAGUGCUUGCUAGAGAGAACAUCUUCCUUGGACUCUUCUGUUAGUAAUAGAAAACUAACAAAUAAGUAAACUUCUAUUAUGUUUCAUGCAUUAUGCAAAUAUUUCUCCAGUGACACAGAAGAGAUAUUGCUCCAAUGAUGAAUGUCAUUAUAUUGUAUACCUUAAAUGUACCAGUAAAAUUAAUUUUUUAAAAAAGGAAUAGAUAUUGCUGAACAACUACACACUCAGCAAAAUCAUAUACUACAAAGAAUGCUUUUAGGAGUAUUAGGAUUAUAGUCAGACCACUAAAAAUUUAUGCAAUUUUGUAACUAGCACACUAACAAAAACAGUAAUUGGUAUCUUGAGAGAUAACUUGGACUGUCCAGGCAGGAAGCAUGGUAUGGUUGGAGGUUGCCUCAAGGCUAUUAAAAUGUGAGUUGAAAUGAUAGCAUGAAAUCACUGGAAGGAGGACAGAUUAGUCACUGCUAGGGGCAGAGAUAGGGAUGGAAAGGGCUAAGCAUGGCUGUGAAGGGCCCCUGUGGGAGUAGGCCAGUGCUGUGGCUUAGUUGUGGUGGUUAUGCUCCUCUCUAUACAUGGGAUAACACUGCAUAGGACUACAUACACAACGCGCACAUAAAGCUGGUG
rnacentral:lncRNA from 1 species